rnacentral:rRNA from 1 species
GGUUAAAAUAUUAAGGGCACACUAAGGAUGCCUAGGAAGUAAGAGCCGAUGAAGGACGUGGUAAGCUGCGAUAAGCUUGGUGGAGUUGCAAUCGAACUGUGCUGCCAAGAUUUCCGAAUGGAGAAAUAUGCUAAGAUGGAGUCUUAGCACGACAGCGGGAACCGGGUGAACUGAACCAUCUACGUAACCCGAGGA